rnacentral:rRNA from 1 species
UUUGAAGAGAGAGUUUAAGAGGACGUGAAACUACUUGGAAGUAAGCAAAAGGAGCUGAAAUUGACGUGCUGUAUUCAACAGAAGGAAGGAUGCCUAGCUCAGCUGCGUCUGGCUGGUGAAAGAAUUCUGUGCUUUUGCAGCUUGUCAUGCUGGCUGCUGUUACCACUUAACUGUGCUGUCGUGAUGAUGGGUGACUGCGGUCAACUUCUCUUACGAUUACUGCAGUACCAGUGGGAACAGCUAAAAACUGCUGGUGGCUGUCAAUUGGAAGAGUCUUCUAGUUCAGUGGUGUUGUGCCUUGCACUCAGCUGCUGAAGGAAAAGAGGAUUUUGGGUGAUGGCAUGCAGUUAGCCAGUUAUCAUUAGCCACCCUUUCAUCCCGUCUUGAAACACGGACCAAGGAGUCCAGCAUGUGUGCGAGCAAAUCAGAAGUAAACCUGAAAUGCGCAAUGAAAGUGAUCAUAUUGGGAUUGCUGAAAGGCAAGCACCAUUGCCACGCCUGUUUUGCAUCGUCAAUUAGGCGUAGGAAGAGUGGACAUGCUGGGACCCGAAAGAUGGUGAACUAUGCAUGAGCAGGAUGAAGCCAGAGGAAACUCUGGUGGAAGUCCAUAGCUGUUCUGACGUGCAAAUCGAUUGUCAGACUUGUGUAUAGGGGCGAAAGACUAAUCGAACUAUCUAGUAG